GUAGCACACAAUCAGCCAUGGCGCCUGUUCUGCCACUGCUACUUCUGCUCCUGUCCUCUUCUUCUUCUCCAACAAUCCGUGCAGCAGCAGCAGAUGAGGAGCACGAGUACACACUCGUGGCAUUGAGCUCGCUGCAACCAAAAGCUACCUGCGCCGGACACAGGGGUACGAUCGAUAUAUAUAUAUAUUAUCUUUCUCACAGGAAGGCUCCUAAUGACAAUAAUUAAAUUAAAUACUGAUGAUGAUGAUGUUAUUGACUCCCAGUGGCUCCGCCCCAGAACACGACGUGGGUGCCUUUGAACCUCCCCCAUGGCCCAUGCUCGCCGCUGUCCGGCGGCGCCACCACGCCGCCGUCCGUGGCUGAGCUGCUCCGCCACGACCAGCUCCGCGUCGACGACAUCCUCACGAGGCUGUCCGGCAUUCCCAUCAACGACAGCAAGCCGACGCGCUCGGUGGGUGGACCCAACGCCCAAAUGAAUGGCAACUUAAUCGAUGUCGGCGUGGGCCCAGCACAAAGCCCCCCGUCGGCGUGGGCCCAGCAGCAGCUCUCCGGUCUGAGCGGCGGUAUUGAUGCAGUCGCCGCCCAGUCGAGCCUGCCGGCCGGAGUGCUCCGGCAGACGGUGGUCGUGGACACGGCCAGCGACGUGCCGUGGGUGCAGUGCGUGCCGUGCCCCAUCCCGCCGUGCCACCCGCAGACCAACACCUUCUACGACCCGACCAAGUCGCGCACCUAUGCCGCCUUCCCCUGCGGCUCCCCAGCUUGCCGGCAGCUCGGUCCCUACGCCAACGGCUGCAUCAACAACCAGUGCCAGUACAAGGUCACCUACCCCGAUGGCUCGUCGUCGUCGGGCACCUACAGCUCCGACGUCCUCACCUUCGACGCCACCCACGCCGUCAGCAACUUCCAGUUCGGGUGCAGCCACGCUGAGCAGGGCAGCUUCGACAACCGUGCGGCGGGCAUCAUGGCGCUCGGCGGCGGCCCGGAGUCGCUGCUGGCCCAGACGGCGUCCCGCUGGGGGAACGCCUUCUCCUACUGCAUCCCGCCGACGUCGAGCAACUCCGGCUUCUUCGGCCUCGGCGUGCCCGGCGGCGUCGCCUCCUCCAGGUACGUGGUGACGCCGAUGCUCAGGUACCCGAACCUGCCCACCUUCUACCGCGUGCUCCUCCGGGCCAUCACCGUCGGCGGGCAGCGGCUCAACGUGCCCGCCGCGGUGUUCUCCGCCGGCUCCGUGAUGGACUCGCGCACGGCCAUCAGCCGCCUGCCGCCGACGGCGUACGCGGCGCUGCGGGCGGCGUUCAGGAACGCCAUGAGGAUGUACCGCCCUGCGCCGCCCAAGGGGAACCUCGACACCUGCUACGACUUCACCGGCGUCGCCAACGUCAGGCUGCCGAGGAUCGCGCUGGUGUUCGACCGGAACGCCGUCGUGGAGCUGGACCCGUCGGGGAUCCUCUUCAGCAGCUGCCUCGCUUUCGCCUCCAACCGCGACGACCACAUGCCGGGCAUCCUCGGCAGCGUGCAGCAGCAGACGUAUGAGGUGCUCUACGCCGUCGGCGGAGGCGCUGUCGGAUUCCGCCGUGCCGCGUGCUGAGCGCCACCUCGCCCUGCCAUCCAAUCCAUCUGUCUACUGGCAUUAUAUUGUUGCUUUACUCGUUUCCACACCCACUGUUAACUACUAUAUGUAAGACCUAUCUGGUCAAUGGUCAUGGAUUUCUACAAGCUAAUC
rnacentral:lncRNA from 1 species